GACGAACGCUGGCGGCGUGCUUAACACAUGCAAGUCGAACGGUGACGAGGAGCUUGCUCCUCUGAUCAGUGGCGAACGGGUGAGUAACACGUGAGCAACCUGCCCCAGACUCUGGGAUAACAGUUGGAAACAGCUGCUAAUACCGGAUACGAGACGGAGAGGCAUCUCUACCGUCUGGAAAGUUUUUCGGUCUGGGAUGGACUCGCGGCCUAUCAGCUAGUUGGUGAGGUAAUGGCUCACCAAGGCGACGACGGGUAGCCGGCCUGAGAGGGCGACCGGCCACACUGGGACUGAGACACGGCCCAGACUCCUACGGGAGGCAGCAGUGGGGAAUAUUGCACAAUGGGCGAAAGCCUGAUGCAGCGACGCCGCGUGAGCGAAGAAGUAUUUCGGUAUGUAAAGCUCUAUCAGCAGGGAAGAAAAUGACGGUACCUGACUAAGAAGCCCCGGCUAACUACGUG
rnacentral:rRNA from 1 species